UACGUAGGGGGCAAGCGUUGUCCGGAGUUACUGGGCGUAAAGCGCACGCAGGCGGUCGAUUAAGUUUGGAGUGACAGUUGGUGGCUUAACUGCCAAAGUGCUUUGAAAACUGAUCGACUUGAGGGCUUCAGAGGGACACGGAAUUCCGGGUGGAGUGGUGAAAUGCGUAGAGAUCCGGAGGAACACCGAAGGCGAAGGCAGUGUCCUGGGAGUACCUGACGCUCGAGGUGCGAAAGCCAGGGGAGCGAACGGG
rnacentral:rRNA from 1 species